UUUUUGAGUUGAUAUUUAUUUUGUGUUUAUACUAUUUUAUUUGAAAAAUUGACUUGAAAAUACAUAAAUGUAGACAAAAAACGGAUCUCUUCCUAUUUUCUUAUAUUAUUGUACGUCACUACAUAGUAUACAGAGUGAUUUGUCAAGGCUUGUUUUAAAUGUACUUUUUUCAAGAACAAAAAUCUGCUCAAAAUCUGAUUUUUGUACAUAAGAGAGGGGUUCUCAUUUGAAAAACAGAAGUUUAUGUAUCACAUAGGACACUCCUUAAGCAGUACAAAAAUCUCUUGAAUUCUAAAAUAUGGUCUUUAAGAAAAAUACAAAAGUGAACGUGGUUGGUUGAAUCAUUCUAUAUAAUGUAUAGAUAUCCAUUCCAAGUAUAGCCAAAAAAAUAUACCUACGUGCUCGCGACGUCCACACUUUUAUCGUGUCUUUAUGCUCGUGAAGAGUGAUUACAACAGCCAAAGUAUAAGAUCGACGAACAUAAUAAUAUUGUUGUUUAUUUACUGUAUAUAAUAUAAUUACUGAAUUCAAUAACCAUAUUCGAUUACGUUGUGUAAUAACGUUACAACAAAACAACUCCUUAAAUUGGGGAAGGAUGUAAUUUCCUUAAAAAAAAAACAACUUUUGGAACAUUUAAAAAAUAGGAAUUAUUUUAUUUACAACGGAAGCAUGUUUUUGUACAAAAUAUAUAUAUAUAUAUAUAAUAACAAAAUACAAAACUACUCAAAAUUAAAGCUAACUAAAGUUUUUAUUGAGAAGACACAUUGAACGAUGUAGAAUAAAAGAAUGAUAAAGGUACAUUAAUAGUUAAUGGAAGAGAAAGGAACGUCGAUGGAUAGGGAAUGAAGUUUUUAAGUUGACAUGUAAACACCUUAAAAGUCUAUAUUCGCCAAUAUUCAAUAGAAUUUAGCUAGUAUGUGAAAAUUUGAGAGCAGCGUGCAUUGAUUGCAUUAUAAUGUGUGUUGUUAAACCACCUGUUGCCAUUAUGCAGCAAACUGUUUGGUCAUAUUUUAAAUCCUAAACCUUUUGUGUACUCGAUGGUGAAAAGGUAAGCGUCAUCUAUAACAGCGAAUUUCAACCUAGACGUCUCAAUUGCCUUGGAGGUAUUUUGCAGUUCAUUAUUUAAGGAUCACCAACACACGAUAUUAUAAUAAUCCCGCAGAGUACCUACACUUCAACACUUCAGUUCAUGUCAGUGGCGCACUGGUGUAUUUAAGAACGUAUUAUACAGCACAUCUAUCAGAACAGAUCUGUGUUUACAAAAAACCGUGUCUACCACAACACUGUAGCUGUGGUUAUUCAAUCCCUAACCUUCGGAAAAUUAUAUGAAGAAAAAAAAUGUUAUAACCGCGUUUCAGUAAUUAACCAGAACGGAUUAAGCAUGAAUAAAGUACCUCUCUGGCGUUAAUGUUAAAUCUUUAAGAAAAAUAAUGACGAGAUAGGGACAGGAUUAACAGAAAAUUGUAGGAGGACGUCACCAUCAUCAUCGUCGUCGAAAAUACUUUCAGAAUACAAAUAAGGACGUGUGAAUGAAAAAAAAUUAAAUAAUACUACAAUCCCCUGGGGGUGAAAAAGAAAAUGAAAGAAAACCAAUGACGGGAUUAUGACACUAUGAUUAAUUAAACGCACCCCUUCCUUGAAAAAAUAAAGAACUUAAUGAAGUCGGUAUAUAUAUAUAUAAUUUUUUUUCGAACAACUUCAUUUUUCUCUCCCAGUCUAUCCCAUCUACAACUCUCGCUUGCCACCCCACGGGAAACGGUAAUUAGUGCUUUUCAUAAAAUGAGUCGCGGAUGCAGGGUAGUAGUGGUGAAUGAGCCAACGAAUAAUAAAACGUAGAUAGAGUAACCUAAAUCAAGAA